rnacentral:tRNA from 1 species
UUUUGUUUAUAUCUAUUUAUUAUUGAGGGUCAUAAUUGUUUUUAACAACAUAAACAAA